UGUGUCAUGUCAAGUUCGAAGGUUUCAUAUUAAAAACGAAAGUAGAGUCGGUCACAACAUGUGUUAUGGGCCGGGGAAACGUUCAGUCUGCCUGGGUUAUAUAUAGGUAGAUUCAUUGGUUUCGGAUCAGAAAUUAUCAAUGUUCAUGGAUUCUCAGAACACAGCAGAGAGAAGUUUAUGUUAUGAACAUUUCUUAUCAACAAACCCUGUAAGAAGAAGGACGUCUGUUCUACAGCUUGUGGUGGAUCAUAGAACACAUGAUAUCAACCAAGUUUAAAGGAAGCAUGUAUAGCCACAAUAGAAAGAUUUAAGGAUUGUGAG